UACGUAGGGGGCAAGCGUUGUCCGGAUUUACUGGGCGUAAAGCGCCUGUAGGCGCCUGUCAAGUCCGGCCUGAAAGCCCCCCGCUCCAACGGGGGAGGGUGGCUGGAAACUGGCAGGCUUGAGGGCGAGAGAGGAGGGUGGAAUUCCUGGUGUAGCGGUGAAAUGCGCAGAUAUCGGGAGGAACACCUAUGGCGAAGGCAGCUCGCUGGGACGUUACUGACGCUGAGACGCGAAAGCGUGGGGAGCAAACAGG
rnacentral:rRNA from 1 species